GGUGGUCUUGGCGAGCGGUGGUCUGCGCUUCGGUUUAGCCUCGCACACUUGCGACCUGAGACGACACAGGGCUCAGACUCCGCAGGUAAGAAGAACUUUGCUUAGCCACCUUGUUUUCUGAUCCGCUCGCCGCUGCCGAGAACCCCCUUGGACCAAAUAGGCGCCCGCCACUUUAGUUUCAGCUGUAUCGGAUUUCCACCCCCCUACAAACAAAUCAGUUUUGAACCCGUGGUUUUUGUGAGGUUUAGCAACACCGAGGUGAGCCAGAUCUCAUUCCGGUCCAUCCGAGGACUGCCACCUAGACAGCAGGUGACUCCCAGCGGACCCCCCGCCCCCCAGCUUGUGUUCUCCCCUCAGCUAAGCAGUUAAGACGGGCAGCGAUACGGAGGUCCCUAGCGCCACCAGCGCCGCCAAGAUGUACGGCCUGUACCUGGAAGCGGUCAACGACUACAUCAACGAGUCCUACGGCGAGGACGUGUGGCGGCUGAUUGAGAACCGAGCCGAGAUCCCGCACCUCAAGUUUGUCAGGCAUCAGAUGUACAAUGACAACCUGAUUCUACGUCUGGCCAAGGCGGCAGGUGAAGUUUUGGGAAAGACACAUGACGAGCUGAUGUACGCCUUUGGAGUCUACAUGGUCAAGAGGAUCGGAAAUUACGGCUACGAGCGCAUCCUCAAGGUUUUGGGCCGUAACGUGCGCGACUUCAUCAACGAGCUGGACAACUUGCACGAGUAUUUCCGCUUCUCCUUCCCAAAAGUGCAGCCGCCCAGCUUCUGCGUGGAGGAGGAGUGCGAGACCAGUCUGACGCUGCACUAUCGAAGCACACGCAAAGGAUUUACGCAGUUUGUCAAAGGCCAGCUCUCCCAGGUGGGCCGUCAGUUUUACAACACAGACAUUGAAGUGGAGAUCUUGUCCAAGGAGGAAACGGAGAAGAUGACUUAUGUGGUGUAUAAGAUGAACUUUGACAACGCGGCCUUCAAACACCGCAUGCCGCAGCAAAAGACGGCACCGAGCUAUGAGAAGCUUCCCAUGAAGCGAGGUAUCUUUUUUGACAUGUUCCCCUUCAGCGUAAUCUUCCGCCGCGACAUGACCAUGUACCGAAUUGGCGACGGCCUCAAAGAGGUCUUCUCUGACCUCCAGGGCAAGAAGGUGAACGAGGAGUUCACCCUAGUCAGGCCCAUGUUGGAGUUCAGCUGGGACAACAUCUACACCCACCUGAACAAUGUGUUUGAGCUGCUGUCUAAAGCAGUGGUGGAGAGCAAACAAAAAGUAAAUAUUCCCAAACUGAACAAGGAGGAACCUGAAGAGAAAGAGGAAAGCGAGAAGACCAAGAGGGAACAAGAAAGAGAACAAAAGUCUGAGGAGAUGAAUGGCACAGAUCAGGAGUACAGCAGCACUGUGGCGCAGUACAAUAGCACCACCAACUCUGGAGGUGAAGACAUCGAGCUGUUGGCCUUCCAGACCGUCACAGGAAAAUGCAGCGAGACCAUUUUUGAGGACAUGCGAGAGCCCCCCAAAAAGCCUCUCCACCUGAAGGGCCAGAUGAAGUAUGUCCCGCAGUGGGACUCGCUCAUCUUCCUGGGGACGCCCAUUAUUGAGACGGUGGAGGACAUGAUCAAGAUGGGCGUCUACGUCAACGACUUGAACCUGCACGACUCCAGCAGGGAGCUGAUCCUGGCCGGGACGCAGCAGUCGGCCGAGCUGCAGCUGGCCCUGGAUCAGGAGCAACAAAAGUAUGCGCAGCUGCAGGAGAUCAUCAAGAAGCUGGAUGAAGAGAAGAAGCGCGGCGACUCCUUGCUGUACGCCAUGAUCCCUAAAGCCGUGGCCGACCGUCUCAGGAAAGGAAUCACCGCCUUGGAGACGUGCCAGGUCUUCCCGGACGUGACCAUCCUGUUCAGCGACGUGGUCAAGUUCAACGAGAUCUGCAUCCACAUUACUCCCAUGCAAGUGGUGGACAUGCUCAAUGAGAUCUACAUCGUCUUUGACACGCUCAGUGAAAAGCACAACGUCUACAAGGUGGAGACCAUUCGCGAUGCUUACAUGGUCGUGGCGGGCGUGCCCAACAAGACCACAUUCCACGCACAUCACAUCUGCGACAUGGCCCUGGACAUGUUGAGCUCCAUUGACCACCUGAAGGACCCGUCCACAGGGGACAACAUCCAGAUCCGAGUGGGUGUCCACUCAGGAAUGGUGGUGGCCGGCGUGGUGGGCCUGAAGAUGCCUCGCUAUUGUCUCUUUGGCGAUACGGUCAACACCGCCUCCAGGAUGGAGAGCAACGGCGUGGGUAUGCAGAUACACAUCAGCCAGACCACCAAAGACCAUCUGGAACAUGAGCCAUACAUCAUCGAGGAGAGGGGCAAGAUAUUUGUCAAGGGUAAAGGCUACAUGAAGACAUACUGGCUGAAGGGAAAGAAAGAUCUUUCUUUCAAGACUCCGGCGGAGUUGCGCUACAGCAGCGAACAGAAGGACUCUGAUGACAAAAGCUCCAACGGUUCCGAAAGCACCGACGGCAAGCACAUGUCGUCCAGCCAGCCCAUCAGCGGUGGCGAAGACCAAGCGGAGGGCAGCCCCAGCGACCUCCGCCAGGAUACCCUGCCGCUGCCCGAGGGCACCAGCGAGCCCACGGGCGCGCCGGGCGACCUCCAGGAGAAGGAGAAGUCCAAAAAGACGAAGAACAACAAAGGCGCCAAGGCUGAGGAGGGGUUGGGGUUCGCGGCAUCGGAGCUGGCGCCACCCGUCGAUGACUCCGAGCACCCAGGGCCCAUGCUCAACAUGAAGAGGAAUAGCUUCAGGCAGCAGUACGCCAAGCUGCCCACAAACCUACCCAUAAGGAGCGCCUCGUGUACCCUCCUGUGAGCACGUGGCACCGUGCCAUGAUCACAAUGUCAUAAAGUCAUGACAACAGGACGCCGUGAUGUCAUCGCGCUGUGGCAGUGAGAAACGGCGGUGUGUAUGGGAAGCCUUUUGAGUUUUUAUUCCAUGACAAUUAUAUCCAGUUUAAGGUUCACAUAGUAGUUUGCGCUUUGUCCUCAGGAGAAAAACAAUUCAGCACAUCAGUAGAACAACUCGAACCCAAGGUAAAAAGAACAAGUGGUUAUCACUUGUAAGGUUAUUUCCACUUGUAAAGUAAGGCAAGGCAGCUUUAUUUCUGGAGCACAUUUCAUGCACAAGUGAACUCAAUGUGCCUCACAUACAAGAGUUAAAAUUCAACAUCGAUGCAUCCAUCCAUUUUCGACUUUGCUUAUUCUCAAGAGCGCGUGGGUACACCCUGAACUGGUCGCCAGCCGAUCGCAGGGCACACAGACGAAUAAUCCGCGCUCACCAUCACACCUAGUGACAAUUUAGAGUGUUUUAAGCUGCCAUGCAUGUUUUUAGAACGUGGGACGAAACCGGAAUACCCGGAGAAAACCCACGCAGGCACAGUGAAAACACGCAAACUUCACACAGGAAAGCCGAAGCCGGAAUCGAAUCCUGCACCUCUGCACUGUGAGGCGGACGUGCGAACCAGUCGACUACCGUGUCGCGCGAAAAUUCAAUAUUUUAAAAGGCAAAAUAUGAGAUUUAAAGGGAAAAGCUUUACGAAAAUAAAUAACAUUGAAAUUUAAGACACAGAGUAAAGAAAUCAAAAGUCAUUUAACAAAAUUACUCAAAGAAUGUACAGCAAAAGAACAUGGAAAUGCUCGAAAAGACUAAUCGUUCUGCUGGCAGCAUAACAGCUAAAUACUGAGGCACCUUGUUUGCUUUGAUCUCAACUAAAUGACCCUAGUCUACAGACCUCACAACACUACUGGGUAAUCCACGAUUUAUAGACCAGUAGCAUAAUUUAAAGUUCAUUCUGCAGUCUUGUCACUUGUGGCAAACGGCGUCCUAGCACAUGAACCUUGAACCGGAUAUCAACCAUAUGGAAUAUAAGACCAAACGACGACAUGGAAAGAAAGCCCUUUGAGCUUUUAUUCCAUAUCUUUGAUUUGGAGGCUAGUAGUGUGCAUACUAAUUGGGCCUAAUAGUGCAACUCGUGCUACUCGAUUAAAAAGUGCCACUCGUUAGUGGAGAAAAAAAAAUGUACGACAAUUGUUCUGCUUGUGUGCCGUAGUCGUUCCGCUAGUGUGCUAAAUUGUCUUACGAGUGAGGAAAAGGAGCGUAAUAGUAAAAUAUAGACGAAAUGAUCAAACGGCUUUCCAUAACAACAUAGCAUCACUAUAGCAUGACAUGCUUUAAGGUACAUUUUGUUUCCCCACUACUAGUGCAACUUUUGCCCUACUAGUGUAAGCUUGAGCUGGAUUUCCGCGAUAUCCACCUGAAGGUGCAUGUACUCCUACGCUCUUCGACCUCACUAGGAAGACAACUACAUGUUCCUAGUGAAAACUGUGCACAGAGUUGAUUGUCACGUCCGUUAAUUCCCAACAUGAUUUUAAUUCUGAUACACAAAAGUAGGAAGCAAUCGUAUGGGCAGACAGACACGUAAUUAUUAGUCUGAUUGUUUUGGUAAUGUUUUCAUCAUUUAAAAAAAAUUUUUUUUGAAUGAUGAUGCUAACAAAGUAGGGGAUGUUUUUGCUGUUCAAAGUAGACAAAAUGAUUACUGUGAUGUUUAUGUUGAGUGACAUGUAUUCUGCUUAUUGUCUUCAGAUAAAGAUGGAUGUACAGCCA